rnacentral:rRNA from 1 species
UAGGGAAUCUUCCACAAUGGACGCAAGUCUGAUGGAGCAACGCCGCGUGAGUGAAGAAGGUUUUCGGACCGUAAAGCUCUGUUGUUGGUGAAGAAGGAUAGAGGUAGUAACUGGCCUUUAUUUGACGGUAAUCAACCAGAAAGUCACGGCUAACUACGUGCCAGCAGCCGCGGUAAUACGUAGGUGGCAAGCGUUGUCCGGAUUUAUUGGGCGUAAAGCGAGCGCAGGCGGAAGAAUAAGUCUGAUGUGAAAGCCCUCGGCUUAACCGAGGAAUUGCAUCGGAAACUGUUUUCUUGAGUGCAGAAGAGGAGAGUAGAACUCCAUGUGUAGCGGUGGAAUGCGUAGAUAUAUGGAAGAAUACCAGUGGCGAAGGCGGCUCUCUGGUCUGCAACUGACGCUGAGGCUCGAAAGCAUGGGUAGCGAACAGGAUUAGAUACCCUUGGUAG